rnacentral:rRNA from 1 species
UACGGGGGGAGCAAGCGUUGUUCGGAAUUACUGGGCGUAAAGGGCUCGUAGGCGGCCAACUAAGUCAGACGUGAAAUCCCCAGGCUCAACCUGGGAACUGCGUCUGAUACUGGAUGGCUUGAAUUCGGGAGAGGGAUGCAGAAUUCCAGGUGUAGCGGUGAAAUGCGUAGAGAUCCGGAAGAACACCGGUGGCGAAGGCGGCCCGCUGGGCAGUGGCUGACGCUGAGGCGCGACAGCGUGGGGAGCAAACAGG